GAAGAAGAAAAGAAAAGGCAAAAUCAAAAGAAUGUGAUGUAUGUCUGCCUCCACGCAGGUAACUGAAAAAACACAAGACUGCAGCAUUUCAGUUUUCUACAAUAUUUAUUCUGCUCUCAGAAAGAUGAAAUUGGCAACUUGCUAACUAAGCACUUUUGAAGGAUGCCGUGUAUUCUUGAAGAAACCGUUCACAGUCACAGUGGAUGGACUAUCUUCUGUGCUAUUUAAUCAGCCCUUCAGAGUGACAUUUGGAGAAAGCUUCACAAGUGGACCAAGUUCAUCAUCAUACAAAUAAAUAAAACUAAUUUCAAAAGCCCACAAUCAAUAUAUUAUAUGUAUGUAUAUAUACUUAUAUGAGAAACUGAGAUUUUUUAAAACAAAUAUUUAUUAUAAGAUUAGAGAUAUUAGAUUCCUGUAAAGUAAUCCAUGAUGUAAGAGAUAUGUGUCUAGAAACUAGCUAAGGAAUAUACCAAAAUUAUUAUGGAUGGAGACCUCUUGAAGAAACACAUGAAUUCCGAUGGGUCUAAAGAAAGAAGCCAUGAGUGUUCUCUCUUGUCUGAAGUAAACAGGCAGAACUGCAUUCAGCAAGGCACAAACAUUAAGUAUUGUAUUCAUGUCAAGUUGACACGGUAAAAUCAAGUAACUCUGGUGUAACCGUCCCUUGCUUAUUAAUUGUGAAUGGCCGGAUAACCAUAUUUACAUCAUAAUUUUGCCAUUUGUGUUACUUUAUAAUUCAUUCAGAAUUCUGCUGAUGUUAUUGCAAAAUGACUACUAGCAUUUAAGGACAUUUGUACAGUACAUAAUAUAUUCUGCUGUUAAUUUUUAUUCUUCCAAUAUUCAGGUGAUACCCUCCUUCUCAAUUUGUGUAGCCGCAAGAAGACCUGAAGCCACUCUUGAUGGUUUUCAUCCCUUGUUGGUGAUCAUGCCUUGUUAGAAAAUAAGAACUUUUCAGAAAUAGACUUUCAUGGUUUUCUUCUCAUCAGGAAAUAUGGUGAGAGCUGUGGUUGUCUUUGGUGUACCCAGUGAAGCUUUAAGUGACACUUUCAAUGGCUUCUACAGCUUUCAUGUCAGCAUGUGAUAUGGGGCUUCUAUGUUUCAUAGAAAUAAAGUGUUGUUUCAUGGUUUUUGAUGUACACUCCUGUAGCAGCAGGAGACCAUAUUUUUUGUUCUUCAUACAAAAAAAAAUCAGUUAAUACUGCAGCUGUCACCAUUCUCAUCAUGACAUCUCUCGUCUCAUUGAUUUGAUAUGAUACUGUGUUACCUUUGGCUUACAUCUUUUAGCUGAGGUUACCUGCAUUAAAAUGAAUUACCUUGUCUAA